rnacentral:rRNA from 1 species
GACGAACGCUGGCGGCGUGCUUAACACAUGCAAGUCGAACGGUGAUGCUCCAGCUUGCUGGAGUGGUUCAGUGGCGAACGGGUGAGUAACACGUGAGCAACCUGCCCCAGACUCUGGAAUAAGCGCUGGAAACGGCGUCUAAUACUGGAUACGAAACUGGCCCGCAUGGGCAUGGUUUGGAAAGUUUUUCGGUUUGGGAUGGGCUCGCGGCCUAUCAGCUUGUUGGUGAGGUAAUGGCUCACCAAGGCGACGACGGGUAGCCGGCCUGAGAGGGCGACCGGCCACACUGGGACUGAGACACGGCCCAGACUCCUACGGGAGGCAGCAGUGGGGAAUAUUGCACAAUGGGCGAAAGCCUGAUGCAGCGACGCCGCGUGAGGGAUGACGGCCUUCGGGUUGUAAACCUCUUUCAGCAGGGAAGAAGCGAAAGUGACGGUACCUGCAGAAGAAGCACCGGCUAACUACGUG